rnacentral:rRNA from 1 species
GCAGUAGCCGCGGUAAUACGUAGGGUGCGAGCGUUAAUCGGAAUUACUGGGCGUAAAGCGUGCGCAGGCGGUUCGUUAAGACAGAUGUGAAAUCCCCGGGCUUAACCUGGGAACUGCAUUUGUGACUGACGGGCUAGAGUAUGGCAGAGGGGGGUAGAAUUCCACGUGUAGCAGUGAAAUGCGUAGAGAUGUGGAGGAAUACCGAUGGCGAAGGCAGCCCCCUGGGCCAAUACUGACGCUCAUGCACGAAAGCGUGGGGAGCAAACAGGAUUAGAUACCCCCGUAGUCCCUGUCUCUUAUAC